rnacentral:rRNA from 1 species
GACGAACGCUGGCGGCGUGCUUAACACAUGCAAGUCGAACGAAGUGGCGAACGGGUGAGUAACGCGUAAUCAACCUGCCCUUCAGAGGGGGACAACAGGUGGAAACGACUGCUAAUAUCGCAUACUGAAGGAGGGGAUUGAGUCUGAUUAGCUGGUGGGAGGGGUAACGGCCCACCAAGGCGAUGAUCAGUAGCCGGUCUGGGAGGUUUAACGGACAUGUUGGGACUGAGACACGGACCAGACUCCUACGGGAGGCAGCAGUGGGGAAUCUGCCGCAAUGGACGAAAGUCUGACGGAGAAACGCCGCGUGAGUGAUGACGGCCUUCGGGUGGUAAAGCUCUGUUAAUCGGGACGCGGUACCGGAAUAGAAAGCCACGGCUAACUACGUGCCAGCAGCCGCGGUAAUUC